GACCCCCCACCACCAAUAAGCUUGGACAAGCCCAACCCUAGCAAUGCUAAACCAGCACCAAUUGCAACUUUUUUUAUAGCUUCGUUUUCUUCAGAUGACAGAUCAUUGGCCAUCAACUGCUCUGAAUUCUUUGGAGUGCUUUCAGAUGACCCCAUUCUACUUUCAAUCUCAAAAAGUAGAGUUUCUGAUUAGUGCUAAUAGAAAUGUAGUAU
rnacentral:lncRNA from 1 species